rnacentral:rRNA from 1 species
CCCGCACAAGCGGCGGAGCAUGUGGUUUAAUUCGAAGCAACGCGAAGAACCUUACCAGGCCUUGACAUGCAGAGAACUUUCCAGAGAUGGAUUGGUGCCUUCGGGAACUCUGACACAGGUGCUGCAUGGCUGUCGUCAGCUCGUGUCGUGAGAUGUUGGGUUAAGUCCCGUAACGAGCGCAACCCUUGCCUUUAGUUGCCAGCAGUUCGGCUGGGCACUCUAAAGGGACUGCCGGUGUUAAACCGGAGGAAGGUGGGGAUGACGUCAAGUCCUCAUGGCCUUUAUGACCAGGGCUACACACGUACUACAAUGGCCGAUACAAAGGGCAGCGACACUGCGAGGUGAAGCCAAUCCCGUAAAAUCGGUCUCAGUCCGGAUUGGAGUCUGCAACUCGACUCCAUGAAGUUGGAAUCGCUAGUAAUCGUGGAUCAGCAUGCCACGGUGAAUACGUUCCCGGGCCUU